GAACAAUCCGCCCGUUCACCUGAUAUUUCCCUUCCGAUGCCUCGAUUCCGAUGAGGACCGCCGGCUCUUUCGCCCCCGUCCGAGAGGUCCGAGAGGCCUGGGGCCGGCUCUCGGACGGAUGCCUCGCCCGCUUCCCCUGCCUCGCCGAUCCGGCGAGAAGGUCUUCGUUGGGUUUGAAAGUGGCUCUCGUGCUGCUUCACGUGGUUAUCGUGGGCGCUUUGUUUCCCCUGGACACUGAUUUGGUGCGGAGAACUCGGGAGCAUCCUUGGUACACUGUCAUAUACUUGGUGCUGUUUUUGGCCACAUUGGUUCAAUAUUUUUUCACAUCUAAUUCAUCUCCAGGAUAUGUCAUUGAUGCAAUGAGGGCUUGGGAUGGAACACAUGCUGCCUUUACCAAUCGAAGACAAUCUGCACCAAGACAUGGAAAAUUUGUUUCUUCAACAGAUAUUAAUCAGUCGGGAAAAAUUGAUUCUCGGAUGAAUUGGUUGAAGCUAGUGACAGGUCUGUAUCUUCCUGGAUCAUCCAGCAGGAGUUGGACUUGCACUUAUUGUCAUAUUAUUCAGCCUCCUCGUACAAAACAUUGCCAUGAUUGUGACAAAUGUGUCCUUCGGUUUGAUCAUCAUUGUGCAUGGCUAGGAACAUGCAUUGGUAAAGGGAAUCAUUGUCGAUUUUGGUGGUACAUCUUUGAAGAAACGAUUCUGUGUAUUUGGACCGGGAUAUUGUACAUCUCCUGUUUGAGGUCAAAUGCUAUAAAAGCAUGGUGGAAGGAAUUUAUCAUGAUAGUCUUGUUUGCUGUAUUGGUCUUUUGCUUCAUCUUUCUGUUUCUGCUGCUGCUUUUCCAUAGCUAUUUGGCUUUGACAAAUCAAACUACCUUUGAACUUACGAGAAGGCGUCGGAUAUCAUAUUUUAGGGGAAUUCCUAGAAGCGUUCGCCUAUUUAGCAAGGGCAUUUGCAGAAAUUUAUAUAUGUUUUGCUGUUCAUGUGAUACCAUGUAUACUUUGGAAGCCGUUCCGCCAAGAGAAGAAUUGGAAGCCAGAGCAAGACCUUACACAUGCCUUGACAUCAUGUCCUGUCGAUGUUGCUGAUACAUCAAUUCGCACAACAUUUUCUUUGUGAGGUCACCUCAUUUUUCUCAAAAGAGUGCUGGUCCCAGGAGCGUAGACUAAUCUAUGGCCCAGAACCAAGGCUGCUUUCAUAGUUGACUUCUAUCAAUUUCUGAGCUCAAGAUGCUUACUUUUCCCUCUUCUUCUCCUAAUCAUAGGACUGAGAUUGGAAGGAUGGGGAACAGCUUCAAUCAGAAGGUUUCCUGUGUUGGAAGGGAGAAACACAAUGUGCCUUGGUUAUCUUUCAGCAACGGAAGGAAUUGUUUGAAGUUCUGAGCCCUUGAAAAGGUUUAAACCCUGCUAUGCCAAGCUAAUCAUCAGCCCUUCUGCCUGAGGAAAUCAAAUAGCCAAUCUCAUUAUCCAAGGUUAAAUUUGCAAAGCUUGUAAUAUAGUUAAUGCAGCAUUCAUGGAGGUAACUUUGGUCAGCUGCGGAAUGCAUAUGUUGCAAACUUUGUACCCCCACUCAAAACCAAGAAGUGUAUUAAACACACUAAUAUCUGGGGGAAAGGUAACAUGAGAAGGCAGAUUGUAUCAAUUUACUCAUAGAUAGGAAUUCAUGUACAAAAGCUGCGUGCUGUUGCUUUUUCGCAACUUCGUUUUGCCCCCCAGAAAUCUUAAUUCAUGGUAUAUGAAGGUGAAUUUUGGUUGUUUGGAGAGUA